CGCGUAGGUGGUUUGUUAAGUUGGAUUAGAUACCCCCGGGCUCAACCUGGGAACUGCAUUCAAAACUGACGAGCUAGAGUAUGGUAGAGGGUGGUGGAAUUUCCUGUGUAGCGGUGAAAUGCGUAGAUAUAGGAAGGAACACCAGUGGCGAAGGCGACCACCUGGACUGAUACUGACACUGAGGUGCGAAAGCGUGGGGAGCAAACAGGAUUAGAUACCCUCGUA
rnacentral:rRNA from 1 species